rnacentral:tRNA from 2 species
GCAGCAAUGGCGGAAUGGCAGACGCGCCAUCUUGAGGGGGUGGUGAGAAUUUUCUCGUGUGGGUUCAAGUCCCAUUUGCUGCA